rnacentral:rRNA from 1 species
GGAUGAACGCUGGCGGCGUGCUUAACACAUGCAAGUCGAACGAGAAGUGGAGACGGAAACCUUCGGGCGGAAGACUUUAUUUCGAGUGGCGGACGGGUGAGUAACGCGUGGGUAACCUGCCUCAUACAGGGGGAUAACAGUUGGAAACGACUGUUAAUACCGCAUAAGACCACAGCACCGCAUGGUGCGGGGGUAAAAACUCCGGUGGUAUGAGAUGGACCCGCGUUCGAUUAGCCAGUUGGCGGGGUAACGGCCCACCAAAGCGACGAUCGAUAGCCGAUCUGAGAGGAUGACCGGCCACAUUGGGACUGAGACACGGCCCAAACUCCUACGGGAGGCAGCAGUGGGGAAUAUUGCACAAUGGGGGAAACCCUGAUGCAGCGACGCCGCGUGAGUGAAGAAGUAUUUCGGUAUGUAAAGCUCUAUCAGCAGGGAAGAAAAUGACGGUACCUGAGUAAGAAGCCCCGGCUAACUACGUG